rnacentral:rRNA from 1 species
GAUGAACGCUGGCGGCGUGCCUAAUACAUGCAAGUCGAGCGAACGGACGAGAAGCUUGCUACUCUGAUGUUAGCGGCGGACGGGUGAGUAACACGUGGAUAACCUACCUAUAAGACUGGGAUAACUUCGGGAAACCGGAGCUAAUACCGGAUAAUAUUUUGAACCGCAUGGUUCAAAAGUGAAAGACGGUCUUGCUGUCACUUAUAGAUGGAUCCGCGCUGCAUUAGCUAGUUGGUAAGGUAACGGCUUACCAAGGCAACGAUGCAUAGCCGACCUGAGAGGGUGAUCGGCCACACUGGAACUGAGACACGGUCCAGACUCCUACGGGAGGCAGCAGUAGGGAAUCUUCCGCAAUGGGCGAAAGCCUGACGGAGCAACGCCGCGUGAGUGAUGAAGGUCUUCGGAUCGUAAAACUCUGUUAUUAGGGAAGAACAUAUGUGUAAGUAACUGUGCACAUCUUGACGGUACCUAAUCAGAAAGCCACGGCUAACUACGUGCCAGCAGCCGCGGUAAUACGUAGGUGGCAAGCGUUAUCCGGAAUUAUUGGGCGUAAAGCGCGCGUAGGCGGUUUUUUAAGUCUGAUGUGAAAGCCCACGGCUCAACCGUGGAGGGCCAUUGGAAACUGGAAAACUUGAGUGCAGAAGAGGAAAGUGGAAUUCCAUGUGUAGCGGUGAAAUGCGCAGAGAUAUGGAGGAACACCAGUGGCGAAGGCGACUUUCUGGUCUGUAACUGACGCUGAUGUGCGAAAGCGUGGGGAUCAAACAGGAUUAGAUACCCUGGUAGUCCACGCCGUAAACGAUGAGUGCUAAGUGUUAGGGGGUUUCCGCCCCUUAGUGCUGCAGCUAACGCAUUAAGCACUCCGCCUGGGGAGUACGACCGCAAGGUUGAAACUCAAAGGAAUUGACGGGGACCCGCACAAGCGGUGGAGCAUGUGGUUUAAUUCGAAGCAACGCGAAGAACCUUACCAAAUCUUGACAUCCUUUGACAACUCUAGAGAUAGAGCCUUCCCCUUCGGGGGACAAAGUGACAGGUGGUGCAUGGUUGUCGUCAGCUCGUGUCGUGAGAUGUUGGGUUAAGUCCCGCAACGAGCGCAACCCUUAAGCUUAGUUGCCAUCAUUAAGUUGGGCACUCUAAGUUAACUGCCGGUGACAAACCGGAGGAAGGUGGGGAUGACGUCAAAUCAUCAUGCCCCUUAUGAUUUGGGCUACACACGUGCUACAAUGGACAAUACAAAGGGCAGCGAAACCGCGAGGUCAAGCAAAUCCCAUAAAGUUGUUCUCAGUUCGGAUUGUAGUCUGCAACUCGACUACAUGAAGCUGGAAUCGCUAGUAAUCGUAGAUCAGCAUGCUACGGUGAAUACGUUCCCGGGUCU